UUUAUCUCAGCUAUUCGUUGGUCUUUGCUUAUCUGGUGCAGCUAAUCCUACUAGGGCAUUCACAUUGACCGACUGAGUUGGGCCCAUUUCGCAGUCAGCACCACCGUUUCCUCCCUCGCACAGCCGCCGCCACCCUCCAUCACCACGUCUCCAAGCCAGCGCCGCUGUCGCCAGAGGAAAAGAGCAGGGGAACGCGCAGCCAUCUAUCCCGUGCAUCGUCUCUCCCUCUACUUGAGGACUUGCGGCGAAGAAGUCGCCGGAGGCGGAGCUCGACCCGGACGACGGCAGCCAGAGGACGUCAAGGCCCCGCCGGAGGAGGAGCCUGGCUGGAGGACAGUGUGGUGCAGCCGUGCAGGGUGCCUAGCCACCAUCUUCGUCCUUGCCACCGCGGGCGCCACUGAGGCCAGCCUCUCCUUCACACACAGAUCGUAGGGCGUGAUGUGUGCUGCAAUUUAUUUGGCAUUAUGAACUAGCAUGACGAAUGGAUCUGGGGGGAUGGAUUUAACAAUCACUGGAGAUGGACGCUGCCUUUGUGCAGUACCCCUACUAGCAAUCAAAUGGAUUUGGGAUAAGGGAUUUGGAAUUGUGAAUGUGAGCGACCAAGCAAUCAGGCUUUUCAUCCGCCUGAUUUUGUGAAGGAGGUUUGCAGAAACAACAAUAUUGCAAAGCUUCACCGUCUCUGCAACACCAAUAUCCCUAAGGUACUUCUGCACUAUCUUGACUGAACCUCAAGUUUUUUACAGUCCAUGGCCUGCGUUCCUCGUCAUUUGGUGGAGAUGAUAAUUUCUGAGAUUUUACUACUACUUGUGUGAUUACGAGAUUGAUGUCGAUCUAUUAGAGCUACAUGUUGAAUGGGGUGAAGAGGUCUACAAGGCUGCAGUGAAUUGUUUGGUGGAAAUCGAAGAAUGUGGCAUGCUGGCGGACAGAACCAUCAUACCCGAGAUUUGAAAUUACAAGGAGGACAGGAAGGCCACUUCCAGUGGAAGUGUUGAGUACAUGUGCAGCCAAGUGAAGCGUCUGAGAGGUGUGAAAACCAGGGCGAUCGGUUGAUGGUUAUGGUAUAAACUCAAUUGCUGAUAUAUUUUUUACUGGUUUUGGUUACAAGUCUCGUGAAGAACUAAGGUUUCCAGCAGAAAAAACUAAGAGCAUUAUGGUUUUCCCUUCCCAACAAUGAUGGAUACACCAGAACUCGUAUAUAUGGACCUUUGCCAAGGAUAUUGAUUUCUGAACUUAUUGUAGAUUAGCUGAGUGCUCCGAGCCAGCAAUCAUCAGUUCAAUGUGUGAUGUUGGGCCAUAGUUUUCCUGCAACGGCAUACACAGCCGGCGAGACUUUUUCUGCUAGGGAUUUACAAGGUAUGACAUGUGGAGAGGGUGCUUCCAAUUAGUAAUUCAAACUCUGGAAAACAAAAACUUCUAAUAUUGGUACUGGGUUCUUCUUAAGGAUUAUUUUCUUCUCAUACUACCGCUGGAAUGAUCAAAAUAUGUGCCCUAAAAGCCAUUGUUCUUCAUGAUUAUAUCGUUGUAAUCGGAUAUUAUAUAGAGAUUAAGACUGCAUAUCGAAGUCAUUUUAUAA